rnacentral:rRNA from 1 species
GACGUAGGGCGCGAGCGUUGUCCGGAUUUAUUGGGCGUAAAGGGCUCGUAGGCGGCCAACUAAGUCAGUCGUGAAAUCCCUCAGCUUAACUGGGGAACUGCGUCUGAUACUGGAUGGCUUGGAUUCGGGAGAGGAAUGCGGAAUUCCAGGUGUAGCGGUGAAAUGCGUAGAUAUCUGGAGGAACACCGGUGGCGAAGGCGGCAUUCUGGACCGACAUUGACGCUGAGGAGCGAAAGCCAGGGGAGCAAACGGG